GUCCACGCCCUAAACGAUGUCGACUAGUCGUUCGGAGAGGUAACUCACUGAGUGACGCAGCUAACGCGUGAAGUCGACCGCCUGGGGAGUACGGCCGCAAGGUUAAAACUCAAAGGAAUUGACGGGGACCCGCACAAGCGGUGGAUGAUGUGGAUUAAUUCGAUGCAACGCGAAAAACCUUACCUACCCUUGACAUGCCUGGAAUCCUUGAGAGAUCAGGGAUGCCUUCGGGAGCCAGGACACAGGUGCUGCAUGGCUGUCGU
rnacentral:rRNA from 1 species